AUGAACGCUAGCUACAGGCUUAACACAUGCAAGUCGAGGGGCAUCAGGAAGAAAGCUUGCUUUCUUUGCUGGCGACCGGCGCACGGGUGAGUAACACGUAUCCAACCUGCCCUUUACUCGGGGAUAGCCUUUCGAAAGAAAGAUUAAUACCCGAUGGCAUAAUGAUUCCGCAUGGUUUCAUUAUUAAAGGAUUCCGGUAAAGGAUGGGGAUGCGUUCCAUUAGGUUGUUGGUGAGGUAACGGCUCACCAAGCCUUCGAUGGAUAGGGGUUCUGAGAGGAAGGUCCCCCACAUUGGAACUGAGACACGGUCCAAACUCCUACGGGAGGCAGCAGUGAGGAAUAUUGGUCAAUGGGCGCUAGCCUGAACCAGCCAAGUAGCGUGAAGGAUGAAGGCUCUAUGGGUCGUAAACUUCUUUUAUAUAAGAAUAAAGUGCAGUAUGUAUACUGUUUUGUAUGUAUUAUAUGAAUAAGGAUCGGCUAACUCCGUGCCAGCAGCCGCGGUAAUACGGAGGAUCCGAGCGUUAUCCGGAUUUAUUGGGUUUAAAGGGAGCGUAGGUGGACUGGUAAGUCAGUUGUGAAAGUUUGCGGCUCAACCGUAAAAUUGCAGUUGAUACUGUCAGUCUUGAGUACAGUAGAGGUGGGCGGAAUUCGUGGUGUAGCGGUGAAAUGCUGAGAUAUCACGAAGAACUCCGAUUGCGAAGGCAGCUCACUGGACUGCAACUGACACUGAUGCUCGAAAGUGUGGGUAUCAAACAGGAUUAGAUACCCUGGUAGUCCACACAGUAAACGAUGAAUACUCGCUGUUUGCGAUAUACAGUAAGCGGCCAAGCGAAAGCAUUAAGUAUUCCACCUGGGGAGUACGCCGGCAACGGUGAAACUCAAAGGAAUUGACGGGGGCCCGCACAAGCGGAGGAACAUGUGGUUUAAUUCGAUGAUACGCGAGGAACCUUACCCGGGCUUAAAUUGCAGUGGAAUGAUGUGGAAACAUGUCAGUGAGCAAUCACCGCUGUGAAGGUGCUGCAUGGUUGUCGUCAGCUCGUGCCGUGAGGUGUCGGCUUAAGUGCCAUAACGAGCGCAACCCUUAUCUUUAGUUACUAACAGGUCAUGCUGAGGACUCUAGAGAGACUGCCGUCGUAAGAUGUGAGGAAGGUGGGGAUGACGUCAAAUCAGCACGGCCCUUACGUCCGGGGCUACACACGUGUUACAAUGGGGGGUACAGAAGGCAGCUAGCGGGUGACCGUAUGCUAAUCCCAAAAUCCUCUCUCAGUUCGGAUCGAAGUCUGCAACCCGACUUCGUGAAGCUGGAUUCGCUAGUAAUCGCGCAUCAGCCACGGCGCGGUGAAUACGUUCCCGGGCCUUGUACACACCGCCCGUCAAGCCAUGGGAGCCGGGGGUACCUGAAGUACGUAACCGCAAGGAUCGUCCUAGGGUAAAACUGGUGACUGGGGCU
rnacentral:rRNA from 1 species